UGGCGGACGGGUGAGUAAUGUCUGGGAAACUGCCUGAUGGAGGGGGAUAACUACUGGAAACGGUAGCUAAUACCGCAUAACGUCGCAAGACCAAAGAGGGGGACCUUCGGGCCUCUUGCCAUCGGAUGUGCCCAGAUGGGAUUAGCUAGUAGGUGGGGUAACGGCUCACCUAGGCGACGAUCCCUAGCUGGUCUGAGAGGAUGACCAGCCACACUGGGACUGAGACACGGUCCAG
rnacentral:rRNA from 1 species